CCUUAUUUUCCUAAAAUGCGGACGUUUUCUGUGAGCCGUUGGAUCUCAUCCAACGGCUGUAAUAGAAGGGCGAGACACGCGGGUAAAAAAGGGGGUGGGUCGGGUAAAAUACAACUCGCGGGUCACGAGGUGAUCUCAAACGGGCCAAACAAAACCCCCAAUUCCCUCACUUCUCACUCGUUGAACAAUAGACGAAGAGAGAGAGAGAGAAGAGCGGAGAAAUCAAAGAAGAAGGAGAAUCGACGAACGAAGAAACGAAUCGAAGACGAACGAUCUGUCAACAAGGUCUCUCUCUCUCUCGAACAACUUCCUUCCAGAAACCCUAACCCCCUCGAUUUUCAAACUCACAAAUUAGGGCUUGAUUACGCGAAGAAUACGGCUUGAUUUGAAGGAGUUAGAGCGGUGUAGAGAGGAGCUUGAAGCUUUGUUAUUAGUUGAAGAAAGAGCCUGAGACAGCAACGAAGGGUUUUAUCCGUAGACCAUCAUCACACUUCCGAGCUUGAACUAGAAGACGACGAAAUUGAGUUUUUCACAACUGUCACGAAUUUUUUAUUUUUUUUUUGGUAUAUGUUCAGUGUUUCUUCUGAUCGAGUGUUGCGAAUGCUUGACUCAGUAGUUAUGAAUGCUUGACUCAUUGUAUUUGUAUUUGGAGAGAAUCAGAUAUCAACUAUCCAUAGAACCAUUUUAAUUCCAUCAUUGUGAUUCAUGUUUCCACCAUAUUCCGUUAUGUAAUUGAUUUUCUUGAGUACUAUACUUUUAAAUGGAUAUGAACUUAGAGCAUAGGAAUUUU